rnacentral:rRNA from 1 species
UCCUACGGGAGGCAGCAGUGGGGAAUCUUGGACAAUGGGCGCAAGCCUGAUCCAGCCAUGCCGCGUGUGUGAUGAAGGCCUUAGGGUCGUAAAGCACUUUCGCCAGAGAUGAUAAUGACAGUAUCUGGUAAAGAAACCCCGGCUAACUCCGUGCCAGCAGCCGCGGUAAUACGGAGGGGGUUAGCGUUGUUCGGAAUUACUGGGCGUAAAGCGCACGUAGGCGGAUUAGUCAGUCAGAGGUGAAAUCCCAGGGCUCAACCCUGGAACUGCCUUUGAUACUGCUAGUCUUGAGUUCGAGAGAGGUGAGUGGAAUUCCGAGUGUAGAGGUGAAAUUCGUAGAUAUUCGGAGGAACACCAGUGGCGAAGGCGGCUCACUGGCUCGAUACUGACGCUGAGGUGCGAAAGUGUGGGGAGCAAACAGGAUUAGAUACCCUGGUAGUCCACACCGUAAACGAUGAAUGCCAGUCGUCGGGUAGUAUACUAUUCGGUGACACACCUAACGGAUUAAGCAUUCCGCCUGGGGAG